rnacentral:rRNA from 1 species
GCGACGCCGCGUGAGGGAUGACGGCCUUCGGGUUGUAAACCUCUUUCAGCAGGGACGAAGCGCAGGUGACGGUACCUGUAGAAGAAGGACCGGCCAACUACGUGCCAGCAGCCGCGGUAAUACGUAGGGUCCGAGCGUUGUCCGGAAUUACUGGGCGUAAAGAGCUCGUAGGUGGUUUGUCGCGUUGUUCGUGAAAACUCACAGCUUAACUGUGGGCGUGCGGGCGAUACGGGCAGACUGGAGUACUGCAGGGGAGACUGGAAUUCCUGGUGUAGCGGUGGAAUGCGCAGAUAUCAGGAGGAACACCGGUGGCGAAGGCGGGUCUCUGGGCAGUAACUGACGCUGAGGAGCGAAAGCGUGGGGAGCGAACAGGAUUAGAUACCCUGGUAGUCCACGCCGUAAACGGUGGGUACUAGGUGUGGGUUUCCUUCCUUGGGAUCCGUGCCGUAGCUAACGCAUUAAGUACCCCGCCUGGGGAGUACGGCCGCAAGGCUAAAACUCAAAGAAAUUGACGGGGGCCCGCACAAGCGGCGGAGCAUGUGGAUUAAUUCGAUGCAACGCGAAGAACCUUACCUGGGUUUGACAUGCACAGGACGUGCCUAGAGAUAGGUAUUCCCUUGUGGCCUGUG